AGUCCCCAGGAGAGGCUGGUGCAGGAAGGCUCAGACACUGUGUUCUCUGACAUAAUUUAUAGGCCCAUGGCAUAUGUGGGGAACUGAGAGGUCUUUGGUCAACAGUCACUGGGGACCUGGGUCCCGCCAACAACCACAUGAUUCAUUUUGGAAGCAGAUCCUCCCCUACAUGAGCCUUCAGAUGAUCACAGCCACAUAUGACAGCUUGAUGGCAACCUCAUGAGAGAGACAGAACUGAAACCACCCUGAUUCCUGACCCACAGAAAUUGGCUUCUAUGAGGCUGUCUUGUAGGAUGCCCAUGACGAUCCUCCAGACACUAAGAUGAGAAAACUAAGGCCCAAAGGGACACCUGGCUUUCCUAAGACCUGUAAGUGGAAGAGUCAGCAUUUGAAUGGAGAACUCGCAGCUUUCGGAGUCUAGACUUGUUUUACCUCACCAGACUGCUUCUACUCCUAGUGAUUCCUUCCCUUAGAUUAAGCCUUGCUCUCUUCCCGUGCAAUCAUGAAGAGGAUUAUAUUAGUAAAUCCCUGAACAUUCCCUGAUUGGGGAGUGAGGGUCAAACCAAGGCAAAUGGCAGGAUUGACACUCACAUCAAGGGCUGGCUCAUUAAGGGCUCGGGACCUGGCGAUCGAGUUGCAUUGCAGAUUUUGGAAGUAUGCAAGACCACGCCAGCCACCUUUCCAGGGAGAGACCAUGCAAAGAAGGCAGGUGAUCCAAGGGCUGGGAGUGGUGAGGACUGCUCCAGCCCCUGAGCAGCUGUCAUCCCAGCACAAAGUGUCAGAAGAGACCUCAAAGUGUGGUCUGCAGACGAGGCAGCAUCUGCAUCACCUGGGAGCUUGUUAGAAAUGCAGAAUCUUCUGAGAGAACCAGACCUGCUGCAUCAAAAUCUGCAUUUUAACAAGAUUGUAACUUAGAUACACAGUAACACUUAAAAAGGAUGGGGCAGAGAGGCUAAGUCAGCAGCUUCUCAUCACACUCCAAUCUGAUGCUGCUAGUGCUCCAAAAAGCUCUCAUAUCCUCACUGACUAGCCUAGGGCUGUGUCUAUCAAUGCAUUAUAUGACACAGAUGAAGACUAUUGUGUACCUUCCUCAAUUUUUACCCCAUUGUUUCAGCCUUUUGUACAUCUUUAAUGCAAACAUCCAUGCGAGAAUUCUUGUGACAUUAAUUUUUUGGAACAACCUGUUUUGCAGAGCAAAUUUCAUUAAGCCAUUUUAAUCCAGAGUUUAAUUUUUUAUACAGCUCGACUCAAUCAUUUCCAUUUUUUUUCCAUUAGAAUGUCUAUUUGUAGUAACAUUAUUUUCAUGGGAUCAAUUAUUUUCUGUUUAAAUUUACAACAGGCAUUUGACUCAUCAGUCUCUUUUUAUAUACCAUCUUUUUGCUGAUUCUGACUUCUGCUAUUUGGAGAGGUUUUCUUGUUUGUGUGUUUGAUUCUUUUGUGGCCAUUCUUUCUAUUAAGUGAAAAUCGUCUGGAUCAAAUUUUGUAGAUUUAAAUUUUGUUAUUAGUGAUACCUGUUUUUUUUCCCUGUCAAUUUUAGCUCAUUACACAUUCUAGUCAUUUUAACCCUGCUAGUUUUGUUAGUUGCUGAUCACUUUUACCAUACCAGUAAUACGUGGUAGAAAUAAUCACCAGAAUGAAAACUCUGCAAAGGCAGGAUUUCUGUCCCUUUUUUUUUUUGUUUUUUUUUUUUUCCUGCCUUAUACUUGAGACUUAGUGCAUGGCACAUAGAAAGUGCUCCAUAUGGCCAGGCGCAGUGACUCACGCCUGUAAUCCUUGCACUUUGGGAAGCCAAGGCAGGUGGAUCACUUGAGGUCAGGAGUUUGAGACCAGCCUGGCCAACAUGGUGAAACCCCGUCUGUACUAAAAAUACAAAACAUUAGCCAGGCAUGGUGGCGGGCACCUGUAGUCCCAGCUACUCGGGAGGCUGAGGCAGAGAAUCACUUGAACCCAGGAGGCAGAGGUUGUGGUGAGGUGAAGUCACACCACUGCACUCCAGCCUGGGUGACAGAGCGAAACUCCAUUUAAAAAAAAAAGAAAGAAAGUACUCCAUAAAUAUUUGUAGGUGGAAAGAAUGAUAUUCACAUAUGAUUUAAUCAAAGACUGACAGUUUAUCUAUUUGAUAAAAAGACUGUGAGAAGCAGAGAUUGAUGGAGACAGGAGAGAAAGUGGAGGAGAAGAGAAGAUGGAGACAGCACACACACAUGCACAGACUUGAACAUGCAGACACACAUUGCACAUGCACAUGCAUGCACACAGCCACACACGUAUACACAAACACACAUGCGUGCACACAGCCACACGUAUACACAAACACAUGCGUGCACACACCACACACAUAUAUGUAAGCACACAUGCAUGCACACAGGCAUACACAUAUACAUAAACACGCAUGCACACAGCCACACACAUAUACACACAAGCAUGCACAUACACAGAGGCAUAUAUACACAUGCACUAACAUACGCAUAGUCACAGAUACACCUGUAGGUGCAAACACCUAUAUAUGUGUUCACAUUCAUACACGGGAGUUAUUAUAUUUGUGCUCACACAUGUAGAGGGUAGAAUUGUGGUUAUUAGAUGCUGGGAAGAGUAGAGGAAGAGAAGAUAGGGAGAGGCUGGUUGGUGGAUACAAAGUUACAGCUGAAUGAGAGAUAAUUUUGACUGUUCUGUAUACUGUAGGAUGAAUAUGGUUAACAAUAACUUAGUGUAUAUUUUCAAAAAGCCAGAAGAGAGGAUCUUGAAUGUUCACAGCACAAAUAAAUGAUAAAUGUUUGAGGUGAUGGAUAUGCUACUCUGAUUUGAUCAUUACACAUUGUAUAAAUGUAUUGAAAAAUCACUCUGUAUCCCAUAAAUAUGUAUAAUUAUUAUGCAUCAACUAAAAAUUAAAGACCACACAUAUAUGCACACAUAGACAUGCACAUGAACACACAUACUCAUGCAUAUGUGUAUACAUGCAGAGUUACACAUAUACACAAACACACAUAUAUGCACACAUAGACAUGCACAUGAACACACAGACAUACUCAUGCAUAUGCGUAUACAUGCACAGUUACACAUACACACACAUAUAUGCACACAUAGACAUGCACAUGAAGACACUAUGCACAUGUCCACACAUGCACACAGCCACACACAUACAUAUAUACACAAAUACCCAUAAAUAUGCACAUGUAGACAGCAUGCACACAGAGAUACAUAUGCACACACACAGCCACAUGUAUACACACUUGUGCAAAUGUAUGCACACACAGACACACAUAUGCCCAUACAUAGGCAUAUACACGUACAGAUUCAGAUAUAAACACAUACAAACACUCAUGUACAUAUGCAAACACAUGUACACACACAGUCUGCUGGCAUAGUGAUGGCUAAACCAAUGCAGGGUAGGGUAAAAUGUCUCUGGUGCAAGGUCAGUAGGAUAAAAUCUGCAGGAUCAAAUGGAAUGCUUAACAACACUCCUCUGUGGGGUAUCAGUGUCUCCAUUUUACAACCAGUGCUUAAUCAAAUGCACAUUGAGUUGAACUGAAUAUUGGAAAAUGAAUUGCUACCUUUGAAUGAAUCUACUGAAAAAUUAUACUUGUCCUGGGUCAGACCGUGUGAAAAGCACUGGGUAUUGGAGAUGAAAAGUGGUUGGCCCUUUUUCUUUGAAAGCUUAGUCCAGUGGGGAAGAUGGAUGUGGAAGCUGAGCAAUUAAAAUGCAGCUUGAUAAAAGCUGUGCUGAAAAACCCUCACUGAGCUGAGCAGUGGGGGCUGGGAGGGAGCAGGUCUUAAACUGAAUGAUCAGGUUUAGUGGGAGCUGUUUAAAUUCUGAGCCAUCAGGCAUUUUUGCUGGAUUCCUUUCGGUGCGCUUGUUAAUCAAUUAUAAAAUAAUAAUAAUGAACACUUCAGGAGAGAGGAUGGAGGUUGAAAGACAGUGGAGGGCUGGACUUGAGGUUGGAAGAUUUGCAGAGACCUGGAUUGUGCAUUCGACCUUUACAAAUUGAAGCGAGAGGCUUUGCAUCUCUGAACAUCAGGAUUCCACUCUAUAAAAAGGAGAAUGAAAGCAUUCAGUUUAUAGGUUUGCUGUGAGGGCUCAACGAGAAUGUGGAUCCAAAAAAGCUUUGGAAACCAAAAUACCGCUAGUUAGCUUGCUGCUUUAUUAUCCAAAAGAGGCUGCAAAGAUUUGAGGUUUGUUUGUAGUUUGUUUGUAGAUUAGUCAGUGUCUACUAAAAUAACACUGUGUAACAACCAUGCCCAAAUCUUGGUGGCUUAAUACCUUAAACGUUAUUUUUCUCAUUCAUGAGGCUGUAGGUGGGUUGGAAUUUGGCAGAUGUAGGCUGGAAUUAGCUGGACCUGCCUCCAGGACCAGGGUUGGACCCAAGUCUUCUGUACGUGUCACCUUCUUUUGGUGCCAGUGCUACCUGGGAUUUUAAUUUCAUGGUUUUGCAGAAGCGUAAGAGGGCAUGCCAACCACGUGAACACUUUUAAAGCCUAACAUCCUAUAGGCCAAAGCCAGCCACAGGUCCAAACUCAACUUCAAUAGGCAGGGAAAGUCCUCCACCUACUUUACCAGGGGAGUACUGCAGAGCAAUGACCGAGGAAGGAAAUGUUUAAUCCUAUUAGGGAGGGAGGGGGGGACCAGGAACACAAAUCCCUCAAGGCAGGACGAGUAAUGGUUGGCUGCCCAAGGUUGACAGACUGGGUCUCAGUUCCUGGCACUGCUCCUCUCUAGCCAUGAGACUUUAGGCAAGUCAACAUUUCAGAGCCUCAGUUUCCUCAUCUGUAAAGUGGGUAUAAUAAUAGAAUUCUCACAGAAUUUCAGUGAGGAUUGCCUGAUUCAUGACAACAGCCUUAUAAGUGGUCCCCUUCUUUUACCUCGCAUCUUCUGUAAUCUCUUCUCUAUGCUUCAUCCUUUAAAUACAAAAGUCACCCGUAAAGACAGAAAACAGAUUAGUGGUGGCCAGAGGUGGUGGAGGGAGAGAGGGGGAGAAAUGAGAGAAGUGCUAAGGGGUAUGAGGUUUCCUUUUGGGGCGAUGAAAAUGUUCUAAAAUCGAUGUGGUUAUGGUUGUACAACUGCAAAUAUACAAUCCCUCUGCCUGGAACCUUUUCCCCAAGAAAUCUGCCCCCACCGUAAAUCCUCACUUGCAUACUGUAUAAUGAGGCUUUUCUGGACCACCCUAUUUAAUUACCCACUCCUUUCUGUCCAUGCCUCUCUCUCGAUAUAUUUUCUCUGAAUGUUUGUAGCAACUUGACAUAUUUUGCAUGCUUAUACACUAUGUACUUUAUAUUAAAGCACAGUUAUGUAAUUUAUUUCUCUGGUCCUUUCACCUCCUUUCCUCCCUCCCUGAAAUAUGCCAGUAGAAUGUAACCUUCAGGAAGGCAAGGAUAUUUACCUUCUGGGUUUGCUGCUGUCUCCCUAGACAGCUCCUGGCACACAGUAAGCCUUUUAAAAAUAUUUGUUGAAUGCAUGAUAUAAGCCAUAUAAUGCUUAGUAGGUGCUCAGGGCUGAGGAACAUAAUUGAUGUUAGCUUUUAUUAUCUUUAUUUACUUCAAAUAACCUACUUAAUUGGGAAAUUUUCCGGGUCUGGAGGGACUCUGAGUUUGAGUCCAGUAUCUUCCCUGGGAGUCCUUGCUUGCACAAAUGUGUGGGAUAGACUCCCGCUGUGUCUGUGGACUCAACGUCUCAGCUCCAGGCUCUUUGCUGCCAGGCAUAGUGAGCCGUGACAUUUAUAAAUCUCUGGGCUCUUAAUCCCCUGCUGAUCCUCGGAGAGGAGUAGACAUUUGUUGCUAAACACAUUGCCCCACUUUGAACAAAGAAACGAAGAGAUACCCCAAGCAUCAAUACAACAGCUGCCUGCGAUGGCUGUGACGUCCCUUCUAUCCUAAGGAGGAGGGUACUGGGACUCAGUCCUGUGCACUGACCUGCCCCACUCACCUGGCUGGUGAGGGGUGCAGUUACUACCUUUGGAACACAUAUCAUUGGGUUUUUGUAUUGCAUUCUUCUGUCUCUGAGCAGAUCUGUUUGUUUAAUGGUCUCUUCCUCACAUUCAGCUCAAGCCUGUAAAUCCUUCGUAUAAAUUCUGCCUGCUCCUUGAUACCAAUCUGUUCUCCUCCAAGUAAAUCUUUUAAAGACAAUACUCCAGCAGCACCGGGAGAACAUUUCCUGCAAAAUCAUGCCCGGAAGCCCCUGUUAGCAUGCAAAUAUGCCCCUUUGCAGCAUGUUCUGAUUGUAACUCGUGAUGCACAGUGCAGAGAAUUAAGCCGGGUCCCUUCCUCAUCAGUCACCAUUUAAUGGAGACUGAAUGGUUGUGGAUACUUUUGUUAGGGUCAUCAAGAAGGUUUGCCAUGCUUGGCUUGGUAAGGAGGAGGUUGUGUGCUCCUGUAAGACAAACCUAGCACUUUAUAGGCUCCCAAAAGCCCAUGGUAGUUACAGGAGCCAUGAAAAACAAACAUGUAGACAUUCAGUAGUGGUCUCAGGAACCCCUAUUGGCAAACUCACCAUUUAUGGAAAGACCUGGAGGGCAGUGUCUUUGGCCAUGACAUGAAACAGCCCAGUAAGCUGCAAAGGCCAGAUUGAAGAGAGCUGUUGAAAAUUCAUUUGCUUGCUAUAGGCUGGCUUUUUAUUUCAUUUUAUUUUAUUUGUUUAUUUAUUAUGUUUUUUAGCAAACCAUCUGAAAUGGGAUGAGAGAGCCAUAUUUGGGCAUACCACCUAUUGGACCAGCAGUUCUACAGAGGCGAGGGUCCAUUUUUUGUUUUGCAGAAGCCUCUCUGUCAGCAGUUCUCAAAAGGAAAGGAGUUUAUUUAUCUUCAGUUCAGCAAAAUUUACUAAGUGCUGACAAUGGGCUAAGGGGAUAGAGACGAAGAAGGAGAUUCUUGCCCUCCAGAAAUUUACAGCCCAACAUAAUGUAAACACUUUUCUAUACAACACUUGCAAAUAGUAAUUGUGUGGAAAUUCAAAUGGUGGACUUACAUGUUAUCAGACUCUGUGUGUGUGCAUAUGUGCAUGUGUGUGUAGGUCACUCCCUAAAGAAUGACAAAUAUGCUAAGAUUUUAGUUACUCCUUGCUUUUUUUGUCCCCCCUCCUCGUUUUUUAACCUUUAUUGAAGUAUCAUUCACAUACCGCAGACUGCAACCACUUCAAGUGUAAAGCUCAGUGACUAUUAAUAUAUUUACAGAGUUGUGCAACCAUAACUGCAAUCUUAUUUUAAGUAAUUUCUACCUCCCCAGAAAGAAGCCUUGUGCCCAUUUGAAGUCCCUCUCCUUCCUAACCCCAGCCUGAGGCAACUACUAAUCUAUUUUCUGUCUCCAUGGAUUUUCCUUUUCUGCACAUUUUAUGUAAUGAAAUCAUGCCAUAUGUGGGUUUUUGUGCCUGGUUUCUUUCACUUAGCAUAAUGUUUUUUGCAGUUUAUCCAUUAGACACACUCGGAAGCAGUAUUUCCAGUAUCAGUCUAUGCUCUCAUUUUGUCCUUUUCCUUUUACAAUUGAAGGCGCAAUUAACUGGCCUAAAUUCGAUGAAGUUAAAGGUUGGCCAUUUGUGGCGUGCUUACUCAAUUCAAUCUCGGCUGAGAUUUGAUCCCUUAUUAUUACAUUAGUGCUUUUUACUUUUCUGUUUUCAGUUACUUUUUAUAAAAUAGUAAGAGUGGAAGAUAAUGAAACGGCUAAAUAAAUCUUAUCGAGAGAUAGUGAAGGUGCUGGAGCUUCCUCACUGAGCAAACAGAACUACAGUAAAAUGAUAACUCAUGAAAAAAUUAAAGUUGGACAUAUGCAUUGGAUUUAGGGGCACCAGCGCACAAUGUGUGAAAGUGCAGCUUGCUCAAAACUUGAAGGUGUGAAUGUCAGAGACUACCUGUGAAUCUCGUCAUCAUUGUCAUCAUUCUCAUAACGAUAAUAGCAAUUCCCUUUUCUGAGUGCAUGGUAUGUGCUAUUCAGUUCCCACACAUUUCCUCAUUGAAUCCUCACAACUGCUAUUGGAGGAAUAUAUUAUUUUUAUUAUUAUUUUCAUUUUACAGAUGGAGACAAUGAGUCCCAGUAAAUUUAAAGACACAUGCCUAAGACUGAGAACCCAAAAUAUCUGAGACAGGUCUCAGUCAAUUUAGAAACGUUUAUUUUGCCAAGGUUAAGGACGUGGUCGGCACAUAGCCCAGGGAGGUCCCGAUGACAUGUGCCCAAGGUGGGCAGGGCACAGCUUGGUUUUAUACAUUUUAGGGACACAUGAGACAUUAAUCCAUAUGUGUAAGAAGUACAUUGGUUCAGUCCAACGUGGAACAACUCCAGGUAGGGAGGGGCUUCCAGGUCAUGGAUAGACAAGAGACAAAAGGUUGCAUUCUUUUGAGUCCUUGAUCAGCCGUCCACUGAACACAGUGUUCAUUCCUGGGCAUAGGCCGAACUAACUUUGGGAAGGAAUUCAGUUCAUGGUUUGACUCUGAAACAAAAUUGAUAAUAACCCUUUCCCAAAAAGACCCUCUUCUUGCUCGGGGACCAGUCUGCCUUUGCAAGACUAACAAGUUAGCUACAAGAUUAGAAAUUACAGUUUAGGGGUCAUGCAGCCUCUGGCUCCAAGAGUCUGAACCUCCUCAAAUUGCUCCUGGGGAUAACAUCACUAUUGUAAAACCUAAGAUCAGUGCUUGAGAUAUUUUGCAGACCGUGCACUCCAUGGAUCAGCUGACACCAUGCAGACCAGUAAUCUGGCUCAAUCAGUUCUGCCGUCUCAUCCAGGAACAGCAAGAAAACCUCACUUCAACCCCCUAGGACUCCAUCUCCAACCUGACCAAUCAGCACUCCUCACUUCCCGAGCCCAUACCCCCCAAAUCCCCGAAUGCUUGGGGAGACUGAUUUGAGUAAUAAUAAUUAAACUCCUGUCUCCCGCACAGCUGGCUCUGUGUGAAUUACUCUUUCUCUAUUGCAAUUCCCCUUCCUUGAUAAAUUGGCUCUGUCUAGACAGUGGGCAAAGUGAACCUGUUGGGCAGUUAGAAAAGGAGCCUGAGAGAUGGGUUGAGGGCGGGUAGAGAAAGUAAUGACUGUGAUCAGACCCCGCUGAGAGAUUUGCCAUUGUCAUGAAGGUAAGAGGGAGACGUUGAGGAAUUUUAAGUGCAGAUGUGAUGUGAACAGAUUUGAGUUUUACAAAAGUGAAUUCCUGGUGGUAAUAACGGUGCCUUGGAUCAAAGUUCUCAAUUCCAAGUAGCAGGUGAGCAUCUCAGAAAAGAUACAAAGCUUCGGACCAAGGUUUCCUCUCUUCUCUUCAGCAGGAAUCACAGUUUGGGGAACUAAACUUGCCAAGGAGAACUUCAGGUUUCUAGAAUCCGAGGCUGAUGAAGAAAGAAUGUUGGGGCAGAUUUUGACAGGGGUCUAAGCUUUGCCUAAUCACACUGCCCGAAUGAGCAGCCACUGCUGAUGAAUUCUCAUUUUCUUAACUGGCAAAGCCUUCUUGGCACAAAAAAAGUGUUUAUGGUUUUUCUUAAAAAAGCGUUUAGUGCCUCUGAGUUGAGAAGGCUGGUGUACUGAGAUGUGGCAUCUCUUUUCUUGUAAAAGUUAAGGGGCUUUUUUCAGUCACUUUAUAGUUUGUUUUAUUGAUGGAGAAAGGGAAAGUGAUAAAAUAUUCUUGUCUUCUAAAAUUUCUGUCCUUUGGCAACAAGGAUGAGAAGGUAUAUGUCCCGGUAAAUUUUUGGGUUACAAAAUAAUCCCUUCUCUUAGUGCUCUACUGACUGAGUUACCACAGUGCUUCCCAUACACUGUCGCCUCAGGCAAGUUGUUUAAUUUUUCCAGGCCUCAGUUGCUUAGUCUGUGAAAUGGGAAUAUGAACACCAAUACCACCUACUUCUUAGAAGUAUUAUGAGGAUUAGGUAUCUAAUAUUUGUAAA
rnacentral:lncRNA from 1 species